AGGAUUGGCCAUGGGAGGCAAUGGCAGGAGACUGGAGGGCAGGAAGAGUGGGGAUGUUGAAUUUCUUCUCUGUUUUCUCUUUCUUUGGUCAUGUCACCAGCAGCAGCUACAUCUGUGACUCUAGCAAAGUAAUGGCUUCCCACUGUUGCUAGUCUCUGAGUGCCUUGCUUGUCCCCUGAACCCUGCCUGCACCUGUGUAAGAGGUCCCUGCAAUGAAGUCUCUUCAGUUGAACCACGUGUGAAAAUCAUUGAUUGGUUCAGCUCGAGUCACGUCUCUCAAUGGAUAGCUCCAUAACUGUUUGACCCCGGAAGAUGAAUCAUCACAACACAAUUCAAAAGUAAGGAGUCCCUUUCUGUCUGCCCUCAAGGCUGAG